rnacentral:rRNA from 1 species
AAAAAGCUUCCGUGGGUGAACCUGCGGAAGGAUCAUUGCCGUUUGCACCGUAGAGAUUUCCGCGUGAUUAACCUUGAGUACGAGUACGACAGCAUGCGUCCGAGGAGCAGUAGCAGAGAUAACUGCCUGGGUCAUUCCUGCCAAAAAGAGUCUGUAGGUUGACCCGGUGUCUGCGGAUGUACCGUCAACGCUUGGCCUGCCUAGAGUGUUGUCGACUAUCCCUGGUCUAUCACGGGACGUGCGCUGAGGCUGAUCAGUCUGAGUCUUCCCCAUGUAGUAGUUGGAGCUCUCACCGAUGCGGGUAGGCAGCGAGCCACGUGUCGGCACCCUAGCGUCAGGCCGACAUCUGACUUCCUGCUUCACACCUAGUCAUGACUCCAGUGUGCGCGCCCAUACGAUCGGCUUGACGCUCGCCCGCCGAUCGCGCCGCACGGCUCUCCGGCUCGGCGCCGUAUCCUAGAUUGGACCUCACCGUGGACGGAGAGACUCACCGAGUCAGGUCCAACACUGGUAGGAGUAGUGAGCUGGUGCCUAGUCGGCGCCUCCAUGACAGGUGCCGCCACUGCGUGUGGGCAUCCUCAGAACUUCGACCGCCAGCGCGGUGUGGAGGUCUCGCCCCGGUCGCCCUCCGCGCGCCUCCGGGUACCCAACUCGACUCUCCCCUCCGGGGUGAUGAUGGGGGGUUCAAUGUCUCCCGCCCCCGUUUGUUCCACGCGCCCGACAGGGAGGGAGUGCCCGGGAGCUUUACCGGCUAACCCUGUCAAACCCUUUGUCUCCGAACCGUGGGCUCACCCUCGACAAAUCAAAAAAAAAAAGUUGACAACUCUUAGCGGUGGAUCACUCGGCUCGUGCGUCGAUGAAGAACGCAGCAAAGACUGAGAACUCAUGUGAAUUGCAGGACACAUUGAUCAUCGAAACUUCGAACGCACCUUGCGGCCCCGGGUUACUCCCGGGGCUACGGCUGUCUGAGGGUCGCUUUGACAUCAAUCGGAAAGGCCGUUCUACCGCGUGCCUUCUCGCGGGUGUGGCCGACGCUGGCAUCCGUUGCGUUCCCCUAAGCGCAGACGGCUGAGGAGUCUCUCGCCACCUCGGUUGCGGUUGUGGCGCGGUGUCAGGCCUACCGCCCUUCCGUCAUACCCGUGGGAUCCAGUGCGCCAGUUCCUCUCUUCCUCAUUCUCCCGUGGAACCAAAAAUCCCCGGGUGAAGGGCCGCCCCGACGGGCACCGCAUGAGUCGGGAGAGGCUGCCGGUAGACAGACUCUGUCUCUCCGCGCUGACCGCGUUACGCGUGGACCCGGUUCCGACGGGAACUCUGCGGCUGGGAGUACGAGGUUCGGGGGUCGUCCUCGGUGUUUGGGCGGUGGCGGCACAUAGGGAACUCUCCGGCUCGACGCGGCGCACUCCGCCUUCGGAGGCGUUACGACCCCCCCAGGCUAUCCCGGAGCGCCUGAGCCCCCCCUUCCACUAGUGGGACGGGGG